UACGUAGGGUGCGAGCGUUGUCCGGAAUUAUUGGGCGUAAAGAGCUCGUAGGCGGUUUGUUGCGUCGGCUGUGAAAUCCCGAGGCUCAACCUCGGGUCUGCAGUCGAUACGAGCAAACUAGAGUGUUGCAGGGGAGACUGGAAUUCCUGGUGUAGCGGUGAAAUGCGCAGAUAUCAGGAGGAACACCGGUGGCGAAGGCGGGUCUCUGGGCAACAACUGACGCUGGAGGAGCGAAAGCGUGGGGAGCGAACAGG
rnacentral:rRNA from 1 species